UACGAAGGGGGCUAGCGUUGCUCGGAAUCACUGGGCGUAAAGGGUGCGUAGGCGGGUCUUUAAGUCAGGGGUGAAAUCCUGGAGCUCAACUCCAGAACUGCCUUUGAUACUGAAGAUCUUGAGUUCGGGAGAGGUGAGUGGAACUGCGAGUGUAGAGGUGAAAUUCGUAGAUAUUCGCAAGAACACCAGUGGCGAAGGCGGCUCACUGGCCCGGUACUGACGCUGAGGUGCGAAAGCGUGGGGAGCAAACAGGG
rnacentral:rRNA from 1 species